CCUGUUCUCUCUGUGUUGUCAUCUGUUGGAUCAGUGUGUGUUGUGGUUCUACUGGUGUUACUGGUUCUGCUGGUGAGAAGAUAUGUUCACAGGAAACCUGAAGGGAGGGUUUCAAUUGCAGUGGAUUCAACAGUGAGAACAGAAGAUGUCAGUUAUGAAGAAAUCAUCAUCAUCAAAGAAACUGAAAAAAAGUCAAAGAUGAGAGACUUUAAACCAGAGCCAGACGGCAUCUACUCUUUACUGAAGUAGUCCACCAGUCCAACCAAUGACGUCCAGCUGUUGGUCUCCAACUGGUCCCCCCAGCACCUCAGACCAGAGGACAUCCACAGAUUUUUAUAUGUUUUAUGUCUUUUGUCUCUAUUUAAAUAUGUAUUUUACAGUAAAAUCAACGAUAAGAAAAUAAGUAUGUUAAUAUAUUUGCGUGCAUCAACAUUUCCACUUAUAUUUAUUUUAUCUUUGUGUUUCUUGUAUAAAGUUCUCGAUUGUUUUCCUCGUGUGGUUCUGUGGGUUUCACCAAAGUGUCAGAUGGAACAUUUGAGUUGUUCUGUCUGAUUGUGGUUAACUGCUACACUCCUCUCUUCAGGGCAGAAAACAAACAGAAAACAUUAGACGACAACCGCAGACUUAAAGCAAUAGGAACAUUGUUCAGUGGUUUAAAACUGCAUUGGAAAUAUCUGUAAAGUAUUUGUGAGAUGUAGAUUCUUCUUUAACACUUUGUUUGCUGCUUAAAACACUGGGAAGUUUGGAGUCACCGUGUCUGACCUUGUUCUC